UGAUCCCAGCUUGCUGGGGGAUUAGUGGCGAACGGGUGAGUAACACGUGAGUAACCUGCCCUUGACUCUGGGAUAAGCCUGGGAAACUGGGUCUAAUACCGGAUAUGACCUUCCAUCGCAUGGUGGUUGGUGGAAAGCUUUUGUGGUUUUGGAUGGACUCGCGGCCUAUCAGCUUGUUGGUGAGGUAAUGGCUUACCAAGGCGACGACGGGUAGCCGGCCUGAGAGGGUGACCGGCCACACUGGGACUGAGACACGGCCCAGACUCCUACGGGAGGCAGCAGUGGGGAAUAUUGCACAAUGGGCGCAAGCCUGAUGCAGCGACGCCGCGUGAGGGAUGACGGCCUUCGGGUUGUAAACCUCUUUCAGUAGGGAAGAAGCCGCAAGGUGACGGUACCUGCAGAAGAAGCGCCGGCUAACUACGUGCCAGCAGCCGCGGUAAUACGUAGGGCGCAAGCGUUAUCCGGAAUUAUUGGGCGUAAAGAGCUCGUAGGCGGUUUGUCGCGUCUGCCGUGAAAGUCCGGGGCUCAACUCCGGAUCUGCGGUGGGUACGGGCAGACUAGAGUGAUGUAGGGGAGACUGGAAUUCCUGGUGUAGCGGUGAAAUGCGCAGAUAUCAGGAGGAACACCGAUGGCGAAGGCAGGUCUCUGGGCAUUAACUGACGCUGAGGAGCGAAAGCAUGGGGAGCGAACAGGAUUAGAUACCCUGGUAGUCCAUGCCGUAAACGUUGGGCACUA
rnacentral:rRNA from 1 species